CCUACGGGAGGCAGCAGUGGGGAAUCUUGCACAAUGGAGGAAACUCUGAUGCAGCGAUGCCGCGUGAGUGAAGAAGGCCUUUGGGUUGUAAAGCUCUUUCGUCGGGGAAGAAAAUGACUGUACCCGAAUAAGAAGGUCCGGCUAACUUCGUGCCAGCAGCCGCGGUAAUACGAAGGGACCUAGCGUAGUUCGGAAUUACUGGGCUUAAAGAGUUCGUAGGUUGUUGAAAAAGUUGGUGGUGAAAUCCCAGAGCUUAACUCUGGAACUGCCAUCAAAACUUUUCAGCUAGAGUUUGAUAGAGGAAAGCAGAAUUUCUAGUGUAGAGGUGAAAUUCGUAGAUAUUAGAAAGAAUACCAAUUGCGAAGGCAGCUUUCUGGAUCAUUACUGACACUGAGGAACGAAAGCAUGGGUAGCGAAGAGGAUUAGAUACCCUCGUAGUCCAUGCCGUAAACGAUGUGUGUUAGACGUUGGAAAUUUAUUUUCAGUGUCGCAGCGAAAGCGAUAAACACACCGCCUGGGGAGUACGACCGCAAGGUUAAAACUCAAAUGAAUUGACGG
rnacentral:rRNA from 1 species